rnacentral:lncRNA from 1 species
UUCACACCCUUCAUUUCACCACCUACGAGUUCUUCUCUUUGGUGCUGCCUUCUUCCACGAGUGACUAAGGGCUGGGAGGUCGAGCGGCUGAGGCUAGGAGCAUCACAGAGCUGGGGCUGCUGCAGGGGCAGGAUACAGGGUUGAGCCAGCACUCACCUGAAUGGGGGCCAAGUGGCUGCUGGAACCAGCAUCUUCAGGAAAGACAGGCGAGAACCACAGUGGCUGGUCUGCAGCCAGAAUACCUGGCCAUAGAGUGGAUGAAGGAAGGGAUCCAAGACGGGAAACUAAGUGACCUACGGGAAGUUUGCAGAGGCCAUUGGAGAGGAUGGCAAGUCUGGAGGAAUUUCCUGGGCUGGUUUGGAUACUUGUGAUGCUUUGGAAGAAUUGCCUGAGGCCUCCUUCAGGGAUGGAGGAGAUCAGUAAAGGGAUUAAUUUAUACACAGGAUGGUUAGAACCUCUUUUGUGAGCUUCUAUGCUAUGGUACACUAGAUCUGCCUGCAAUAACAAACAACAGGGAGCAGCCCAGAUCUCAGUUCCUGACGGGCUCCGUGGUGGGAGAGAGAACAAACGUUACAAAAAGCCAGCCCAGGCUAGGGCCGUGUUUAACAAGGAGCAAGCUCAUUCCAGUGGACGGAGCCUUGAAUGUUCUCCAGCAGCUGCGGGUCUGGAGGGCUCAACAAUAAGUCCUUCCAAGAGGAGGUCAUGCACUUUGGUAGAUGUUACCCCAGGUACUCUAUCCUGCUCCCAGAGGCUAAUGAACGGUGAGAGGAGGUGAUGGGGAGAUGCUGGGGGCACAGAGCGAAGAAAGGUUCGAGUAGUAUCAGGAAGGAGUCAGCGACCAAGGCUCUAAACCACCAUGCUUUCAGGUUGGACCUGGGCUCUGCAACUGGCUCGUGACCUUGAGCAAGUUCAUUAAUCACAUGCACUGAGCUUCAGUUCUCAUCUUGCUUGUGGGAAAUGGAAGGAAAUCCCUAUUGAAAACAGACGGUGAACUGAGACAUUUCAAAUAUGAUAGCCACAGAUACACGGAAGUACUGC